rnacentral:rRNA from 1 species
UUGGCUCAGAAGCAGCCACCAUUUAAAGAGUGCGUAAUAGCUCACUGGUCGAGAGACUCUGCGCCGAAAAUGUCCGGGGCUAAAGUACAGAACCGAAGUUGUGGCAAAUGCUUAAUGCAUUUGGGUAGGGGAGCGUUCUUAUUGGAUUGAAGCAGUACCGGAAGGAGCUGUGGACUGGUAAGAAGUGAGAAUGCCGGUAUGAGUAGCGAAAAGAAAGGUGAGAAUCCUUUCCACCGAAAGCCUAAGGGUUCCUGAGCAACGAUCGUCGACUCAGGGUAAGUCGGGACCUAAGCCGAGGCGGAAAAGCGUAGGCGAUGGACAACAGGUUGAAAUUCCUGUACUAGUAUGAAUUGUUUGAUCGAUGGAGUGACGCAGUAAGAUAGGUCAGCACGAGGAUGGAAAUUCGUGUUUAAGCGUGUAGGUGAAGUGGCAGGCAAAUCCACCACUUCAAAAGCUGAGGCGUGAUGAGGAGUUACUAGCGAUAGUGACGAACUGAUUGAUUCUACACUGCCGAGAAAAGCUUCUAGGUAGAGACAUACUACCCGUACCGAAACCGACACAGGUGGGCGGGGAGAGAAUCCUAAGGUGCGCGGGAAAACCCUCGUUAAGGAACUCGGCAAAAUGCCUCCGUAACUUCGGGAAAAGGAGGACUCAUGUAGUGUGAAGAGCAGUAACGCUCGGAGCAUGAAUGAGUGGCACAAGAGAGGCGCAAGCGACUGUUUACCACAAACACAGGUGCCUGCUAAAGCGAAAGCUGAUGUAUAGGUGCUGACACCUGCCCGGUGCUGGAAGGUUAAGAGGAGGGGUUAGGAGUAAUCCGAAGCUCUGAAUUGAAGCCCCAGUAAACGGCGGCCGUAACUAUAACGGUCCUAAGGUAGCGAAAUUCCUUGUCGGGUAAGUUCCGACCCGCACGAAAGGUGUAACGAUUUGGGCACUGUCUCAACGAGGGACCCGGUGAAAUUGAAAUACCUGUGAAGAUGCAGGUUACCCGCGACUGGACAGAAAGACCCCAUGGAGCUUUACUGUAACCUAAUAUUGGGUUCUGAUAUUCGACGCACAGGAUAGGUGGGAGGCUUGGAGCAUGGUCCUCUGGGAUCAUGGGAGCCGCCGUUGGGAUACCACCCUUCGAAUAUCGGGAUUCUAACCGCAGGAGCAACGAUCCUCGGGACAGUGUUAGGCGGGCAGUUUGACUGGGGCGGUCGCCUCCUAAAGGGUAACGGAGGCGCCCAAAGGUUCCCUCAGCGCGGACGGAAACCGCGCGACGAGUGUAAAGGCAGAAGGGAGCUUGACUGCGAGACGGACAGGUCGAGCAGGGACGAAAGUCGGGCUUAGUGAUCCGGUGGUGCCGAGUGGAAGGGCCAUCGCUCAACGGAUAAAAGCUACCCUGGGGAUAACAGGCUAAUCUCUCCCAAGAGUCCAUAUCGACGGGGAGGUUUGGCACCUCGAUGUCGGCUCAUCACAUCCUGGGGCUGAAGUAGGUCCCAAGGGUUCGGCUGUUCGCCGAUUAAAGUGGUACGUGAGCUGGGUUCAGAACGUCGUGAGACAGUUCGGUCCCUAUCCAUCGCGGGCGCAAGAAACUUGAAGGGGGCUGCUCCUAGUACGAGAGGACCGGAGUGGACGAACCGCUGGUGUACCAAUUAUCCUGCCAAGGGUAUAGUUGGGUAGCUACGUCCGGAACGGAUAAACGCUGAAAGCAUCUAAGCGUGAAACCAUCCUUAAGAUGAGAUCUCUCAUAGAGUAAUCUAGUAAGACACCUUGAAGAUUACAAGGUUGAUAGGCAGGAUGUGUAAGCACAGCAAUGUGUUAAGCUGACCUGUACUAAUAUGUCGAGGGCUUGACUUA